rnacentral:rRNA from 1 species
GAUGAACGCUGGCGGCGUGCCUAACACAUGCAAGUCGAGCGAUUCUCUUCGGAGAAGAGCGGCGGACGGGUGAGUAACGCGUGGGUAACCUGCCCUGUACACACGGAUAACAUACCGAAAGGUAUGCUAAUACGGGAUAACAUAAGAAAUUCGCAUGUUUUCUUAUCAAAGCUCCGGCGGUACAGGAUGGACCCGCGUCUGAUUAGCUAGUUGGUGAGGUAACGGCUCACCAAGGCGACGAUCAGUAGCCGACCUGAGAGGGUGAUCGGCCACAUUGGAACUGAGACACGGUCCAAACUCCUACGGGAGGCAGCAGUGGGGAAUAUUGCACAAUGGGCGAAAGCCUGAUGCAGCAACGCCGCGUGAGCGAUGAAGGCCUUCGGGUUGUAAACUGCUUUUGUACGGAACGAAAAGACUCCUUCUAAUAAAGGGGGUCCAUGACGGUACCGUAAGAAUAAGCACCGGCUAACUACGUG